UUUCUAUUGUUAAAUUGAAAGAAAAAAAACAAAAGAAUAGCAACAAAAACAUGAGUCAUUAACGGAAGGAUGUUAAGUUGGAGGAAGUUUAGAAAAUUCUCAUUGAUAAAAGAGUUCAAAGACAAACCUGGACAGCAAUAGGUAAUAAUUUGUCUUUCUCUAUUUUAUAGCAUUAGUUUUAAUGUUCAAGUAGCAACAGCUUACUUGGAAAAACAAUGCAUAUUUUCAUUAGAUUAGGCAGCAGAGCGACGUUUAUCUCAACAAUUAUUUCAUGCCCCAAUUAUAUUCAUCCAGUAAGUAGUAUGCACCAGUUUAGUAUGUUUGAGAAUCUUAUUGCCACCGCACUGACAACUAAGGGCUAGUUUUUCUUUUCCCCUUUUUCUUCUUUUCCUCUUUCAAUUUUAUUGACCGGAUUUAUACAUUUCAAUCAAAAUGGAUAAAGGAUUAGUAGAAACGAGUGUAUUUUUAUAUUAUAUUUAUUGAUUUUAAAUAAUAAAAUAUAUAUCAAUUAUUUAUUUCCUGUUAAAAUUAAUAUGCAGGUUGUCUGAAAUUCUCAGUUAAGGCCCUAACAAUAUGGACGCCUCCAGCCCUAUUAGGCCAG
rnacentral:lncRNA from 1 species